rnacentral:rRNA from 1 species
CCUACGGGAGGCAGCAGUGGGGGAUAUUGCACAAUGGGGGGAACCCUGAUGCAGCGACGCCGCGUGUGGGAAGACGGUCCUCUGGAUUGUACACCACUGUCCCCAGGGACGAAAAUGACGGUACCUGGGGAGGCAGCUCCGGCUAACUACGUGCCAGCAGCCGCGGUAAUACGUAGGGAGCGAGCGUUGUCCGGAAUUACUGGGGGUAAAGGGAGCGUAGGCGGGGAGGCAAGUUGGGUGUCAAAACUACCGGCUCAACUGGUAGUCGCACUCAAAACUGCAGCUCUUGAGUGAAGUAGAGGCAGGCGGAAUUCCUAGUGUAGCGGUGAAAUGCGUAGAUAUUAGGAGGAACACCAGUGGCGAAGGCGGCCUGCUGGGCUUUGACUGACGCUGAGGCUCGAAAGUGUGGGGAGCAAACAGGAGUAGAUACCCCAGUAGUC